UACGAAGGGGGCUAGCGUUGUUCGGAAUUACUGGGCGUAAAGCGCGCGUAGGCGGUGAUCUUUGUCAGAGGUGAAAGCCCGGGGCUCAACUCCGGAAUUGCCUUUGAAACGGGAUUGCUUGAGUCCGAGAGAGGAUGGCGGAAUUCCUAGUGUAGAGGUGAAAUUCGUAGAUAUUAGGAAGAACACCGGUGGCGAAGGCGGCCAUCUGGCUCGGUACUGACGCUGAGGUGCGAAAGCGUGGGGAGCAAACAGGG
rnacentral:rRNA from 1 species